CGUGGCCGUUGCCGGGCGGGGGUGCGUGCCGCGAGGCUGCGUACUGUCCCCGCCCCGGGCCCGCGGCGGCCGCCCCCGUCCUGCCGCGGCUAGAGAGGUUGAAGGCUCCGCUCCUCGCCGCCGCCGCGCUCGCUCCCUUCCUCCUCCUCCUCCUCCUUCUCCUCCUCCUCCUCCUCCGCCCUCCCUUCGCCGCCUCCUCCGGCUCGGGCUGUGCCAAUCACAGGGACUCCUCGCGCCGCCUGCCGCCGCCGCCGCCUAGCCUCUCUCGGACUCUGUUGCUGCCUUCACCGGCUCCCCCUGGCCCGCCGGCCUCGCCUGCCUUCACCCAUAGCGCCCCAAACCCGGGCCGGGGCCUGAUCGCCGCCUUGAGCCCUAGGCUGCGCCGCUACUGGCUGCGGCUUUAGAUAAAAGAACCAUCUUCAGGAGAGAUGCUGGUUAUUUUUAUUCCGAUGGAGUCAUCACACUGCCAUCCUUCAAGGGAAAGUGCCUGGCCACUAAUGACAGAGCUGGGCACCUGGCAGGGGGCGGGGGUGGGGCGGGUAGAGUCCACUUGUCUUGGGUCGGAUUGUUGUUUCCUCAGCACAUUUGAGCCACAGAAUGAAAGUAAAGAUGCAGAACUUCA